GCCACCUAUAAAUACUGACGAGGACUCCUCCAACAUUCAUCAGCUGACUGGCUGGCUGAGCAGUGCAGUCAUGAAGGUCCUCGUCGUCCUCGUCUUCAUCUUUCUCUCAGGUUGUAAUGGUGGACACUAUGAACCCCCAAGCCAAAGGCAGGUAGAAAUGGCGCAGGAUGCUUACUGGCAAUAUGUUCAGCAGUCAACGUCGACCCCAGAAGACUAUGUGCGGGAUA